CGUACACUCCUGCGGGAGGCAGCAGUGAGGAAUAUUGGACAAUGGGUGGAAGCCUGAUCCAGCCAUCCCGCGUGCAGGAAGACGGCCCUAUGGGUUGUAAACUGCUUUUAUCUGGGGAUAAACCUACUUACGUGUAAGUAGCUGAAGGUACCAGAAGAAUAAGCACCGGCUAACUCCGUGCCAGCAGCCGCGGUAAUACGGAGGGUGCAAGCGUUAUCCGGAUUUAUUGGGUUUAAAGGGUCCGUAGGCGGACUGAUAAGUCAGUGGUGAAAUCCGACAGCUUAACUGUCGAACUGCCAUUGAUACUGUUAGUCUUGAGUAAGGUUGAAGUGGCUGGAAUAAGUAGUGUAGCGGUGAAAUGCAUAGAUAUUACUUAGAACACCAAUUGCGAAGGCAGGUCACUAAGUCUUAACUGACGCUGAUGGACGAAAGCGUGGGGAGCGAACAGGAUUAGAAACCCGUGUAGUCCCAUG
rnacentral:rRNA from 1 species